AUUCUAUAAGGAAUAGACAAUCUGAAGACACAACAAUCUCAAAGAAUUUGAAAUGUGGAAGAUAAGACAAGUACCCCAAUAUUGACACAGAAUGCUUAGUUCCACCAGAAUAAGGUGGUGGAUAAUAAGCCCGUUGAGUGGGAGAGACUGAAGUUGCAAAUGGUAGUGGGAAAAACUGAUUAAAAAAAUGUUUUGAAGGAAACAGGAGAUGGAAAAAAGAACACACGUGGGAUGAGUAGACUGGCAAGGAGGAAAAAUCGUUCCUUCUUAAAAGAGAAAGGAGACCCUGGGAAGUAUCUAAAACUGGGGAGUGACACGAAGUGCACGGCAGUAGAGAAUCAAGAAUCCUCAUGCUAAAUUUUUAAGGGACUUUUCCAAAAAAACUUAACCAAACUGCAAACCCGGAAUUGCAACAUACAGGACAAUAAGACCAAUAAGGCCAUGGAUAAGAACCAAAUCUAAACGGGCAGUAUGGUUUUAAUAUCUUACAGAGAAAAGUAGAAGUCACAAUAAACCUGUUCAAUAAAAUGAGUAAAGAACUUUUAGUCACUUGGAUGUUAUGCCUUGU